ACAAUGGGGUGGUUCCAUGGCCCAGAAGCACUCUGGCUACAGAUUAGAAUGAUGACAAGAGUAAUACCUUCCUAGUAAAGAUGAUUCUAUCCACAGAAGGAAUGAUCUGCAAUGUACACAUGCCAGGACAGAAAUUCUACAGUUGCUGAUAAAAUGUAAACCUGUAAGUAUUGAAUAAGAAUUAUGCCCAAUAAAAAGUCAUGGCUAGGGAGUAAAAGAUGGAGUGUUGACAAGGAAGUAGAACAACAAAUGGGGUAAUCAGGAAAGGCUGAUUACCUUUCCUGAUGGGGAAGGUUGAGACCCCUAAUCUAGUCCAGUCUCCCAUUUUACAAAUAAAGAGACUGAGCUCCACAAGGUUAAGCUACUGGUCCAGAAUCCUAUAGAUCACAAGUGAUGAGCUGCCUCCUUC
rnacentral:antisense_RNA from 1 species